rnacentral:tmRNA from 2 species
GGGGGUGACUUGGAUUCGACGUUGAGUAAUCGCCGUGUCGGAAGCGAGCCGAGGUUUCCGGAACCUCGCAAAACAACCGGGUAAACAAAACAAGUGCCAAACCACAAAUGGCGCUGGCUGCCUGAUAGAUAGGUAGCCCGUCCUCUCCGGAGGGUUCCCGCCCCACCGGACAAGGGCGUCGCUAAUGCGGGAUGCCCCCGGCGGGACUCCGGGACCGACGGGCCAAGCCAAUCCCGGAUGGGCCGAUGGGAGACAGCUGCCGUAGUCUCACCGGCCGACAACCAACCGGCGGCUGCGCUCGGAGAAUUCGACACGAAGAACUCGGCGGACCGGGGUUCGACUCCCCGCACCUCCACCA